GCGAAGUGCGGGCGGCGAUGAGAGCCAAAGUUGCGCUCCGUUCGGCAUCGGGGGCUUGAGGCGGCUCGUUGCUCCGCCCGUCUGGGCCUCCUCUAGCCCCAACUCCCGCCAGCGGAUCCCGCGCGCUCGCCCGCCCGGCCCGGCGCCCACCUGCGCCCCCUGCCCGCGGCCCGCCGCCCGCGCCUCGCGAGCCGGGGUCCCCGUCACUUUGGCCCGGCCCCGGGCCCCGCCGAUGCCGGCCAUGGUGGAGAAGGGCCCCGAGGUCUCAGGGAAGCGGCGAGGGAGGAACACGGCGGCCUCUGCAGCCUCGGCCGCCGCCUCGGCCGCCUCGGCCGCCGCCUCAGCCGCCGCCUCGGCCGGCACCGCCUCCGCCUCGGCCGCCGCCGCCGCCUCGGCCGCCGCCGCCCCCAAUAAUGGCCAGAAUAAAAGUUUGGCGGCGGCGGCUCCCAACGGGAACAGCGGCAGCAACUCCUGGGAGGAAGGCAGCUCGGGCUCGUCCAGCGACGAGGAGCACGGUGGCGGUGGCAUGCGGGUGGGACCCCAGUACCAAGCGGCGGUGCCCGACUUCGAUCCCGCCAAACUGGCAAGGCGCAGUCAAGAACGAGACAAUCUUGGCAUGUUGGUCUGGUCACCUAAUCAGAGUCUUUCUGAAGCAAAACUGGACGAGUACAUCGCUAUCGCCAAAGAGAAGCACGGGUACAACAUGGAGCAGGCUCUUGGGAUGCUCUUUUGGCAUAAGCAUAAUAUUGAAAAAUCACUGGCCGACUUGCCCAACUUCACCCCCUUUCCAGAUGAGUGGACUGUAGAAGACAAAGUCUUAUUUGAGCAAGCCUUUAGUUUUCAUGGGAAAACUUUUCAUAGGAUCCAGCAAAUGCUUCCUGAUAAAUCCAUAGCAAGUUUGGUGAAGUUUUACUACUCUUGGAAGAAAACUAGAACUAAAACGAGUGUGAUGGAUCGCCAUGCUCGGAAACAAAAGCGGGAGCGGGAAGAAAGUGAGGAUGAACUGGAAGAAACAAACGGCAGUAAUCCCGUUGACAUUGAGAUUGAUGCAAACAAGGAAAGCAAAAAGGAGGUGCCCCCUACUGAGACAGUUCCUCAGGUCAAAAAAGAAAAGCACAGCACACAAGCUAAAAAUAGAGCAAAAAGGAAACCUCCGAAAGGCAUGUUUCUUUCUCAAGAAGAUGUGGAGGCUGUGUCUGCUAAUGCUACUGCUGCGACCACGGUGCUGAGACAGCUGGACAUGGAGCUGGUCUCCAUCAAACGACAGAUUCAGAGCAUCAAGCAGACGAACAGUGCUCUUAAAGAGAAGCUUGAUGGAGGGAUAGAGCCUUACCGACUCCCAGAGGUUAUUCAAAAAUGCAACGCUCGCUGGACCACGGAAGAGCAGCUUCUCGCCGUACAAGCCAUUAGGAAAUAUGGGCGAGAUUUUCAGGCGAUCUCAGAUGUGAUUGGGAACAAGUCGGUUGUUCAGGUGAAAAACUUUUUUGUAAAUUAUCGGCGCCGCUUCAACAUAGAUGAAGUUUUACAAGAAUGGGAAGCAGAACACGGGAAAGACGAGACCAAUGGGCCUGCUAACCAGAAACCCGUCAAGUCCCCAGACAGCUCCAUCAAGAUCCCAGAGGAGGAAGAUGAGGCUGCUUCUGUCCUCGACGUAAGAUACGCAUCUGCCUCAUGAAAACUGUUGGUAGCUUUGAACACUUGGUAUGGACGACAUGUUAUCCAGAUAUCAGUGGUAAAAGCUCAUUUGCAGCAACUGUCCUUGGGCACUGUAGCCUCAUGGGAACGUGGACCUCAAUGCUUUCUGCCUUCAGCCUUCAGCAUUGUAAUCCCAGGAUGAGGGUGCACCCAUCUCUUCUUGAUCCCCAGCUGCCACCAUCAUCCCCAGCUCCGAGAGAUUUGGUUCAUAUCACUGUACCUGGUGCUUGUACAUUUGGAAUUGGUGCCUUCUCCUUCUGGCAACCAUGUUAUCAAUCCCUUUUCUGUUUAAGUGUCUUACUUAAAGUUUAUUGCUUGCCAAAGAUGCCAUCAUUGAGGUGUAGCAGAUGGGGAGGGUGUCUGCAGGUUUGAGUGCAGACUUUAAAUGUCAGGUCAGCUCAGUAAAGGAGAAGAGAGAAGCUAGGGAUGGUUUUCUAGACGCUGCACACCAGUAGCUCUCAUCCUCUUGGCGUGCCUGGCCAUUGUAUGUCACUCCAUGUGUCCUUUUGUAUCAUUUGUGUACUGGUGUGAUCACACAAACACUAUAUCCUGUCUCUUAGCAGCAGAUAAGACAGAGAAGUAAUGGAUGUGUUUGUUGCUUAGUGAGACCAAGAUGAAAAGAAACAACCUAGAGUGGUGGUAAUGCCAUUUGUUUGGACUGGGAACAAGCAAAGGUUGCUAAUAAAUGUUCUGAGACUUCAGAAUCACUUUUGCUCUCUUACCAGACUGUGGGCCUGAAGGGCCUGAGGAGCAGCCGGCUGGGCUGUGUCCUAGCAUCCAUGGCCACUUGAGACUGCACUAACCAUGUGGAAAUAUCUUUUGUUGUUGUUUUAAUAUUUUUUCUGCUUUCAAUACCAAAAAGAAAAAAAAAAAAAAAAAGAAAAAAAGUAGAUGCUUUAAGGUAUUUAAGGUAUGAAUGGAGUUCUUAAGAAUUUAAAAUAUGCAAUUAAAAUUCGAUGUUUUGACUCCUAAGCACCUUCCCCCCUCCCCCCUUUUUUUUAAGUUAGCUGAUUUUCUCUUUAGAAAGAGGUUCAGCUGGGGAUAGGAUGUACAUUCUUCUUGAAGUCUGGAGAAAGGUCAUUCCAAGGUCAAGUGCAGAGGGACUUUGUCCAUCCUGUCUCACACCAGCCCAUUGAUGAGGAAGAGUCAUAGAGACGCGUCAGAAGCACAGCCCGUGGUCCCACCUAGGGACCCAGGGACCCAGGGACCCAGGGACCCAGGGACCCAGGGACCAGUAACAGAGUAACACUAGUAACUUCUCUUGUGCUUUUUAUCAUAAACCUGCUGUGUAGCUGAAGGGGAAGGCAAGCACGGGAUGAAGUUAGCUUCUGCUCUGCGUGUGACUCACAGGGACAGGACACUGAGGCACAAGAUAAAACCUUGCUCACCUAGUGUGUUUGCAUGCCCUUCCCUCCAGUGAGCAGAGCAGUGCUGUGCUGCAGGGUGGCAUCUGCCGGUGGCUCUGUGUCUGUCUUUGUGCCCAGGCUACUUUGCUUACGAUGUGUCCCCUCAGCAGUGUUGAGACUUGGUGAUCAUCUCGGAUGGUGUGGCAGGCAGAGCGGCUGUGCCAGGCCCCAGGCUCGUUCUUUCUCUUGGUUGUGAGCUUGGCGUGGUUUCUAGCCAUGAAGAGUCCGGUGUCAGGCGGUAUGGUUAUGACCAGAGCAGCUGAUCUUCCCUUUUCUCCAAGGAAGAGAGGCACGUGCCGUUUUCACUUGGCAGAGGGGCGAGAGUGGGCUCUGCCUGGCUGCUGCUGCUGGAAUAGUCUCCAUGUUUUAAACUUUUCAUGACACAGUCCACAGUGAUAUAAGUCCAAGAAACUGCUUAGCUUUCAAAGCCGAGGGCUCUGGUCUGGACUGUGACUGUUACAUGUCAAGAGUUAGGUGCAUCAGCAGGUUAGGUUUGGAACAUGACACCUGCUUCCGAUGGAAUGUCACUUAAGCUUUGGGUUCUUAAAAAUUAUCAAUGUGAAUGUCAUAAUUAUAUAUUUUUGUGGGAAAAUCUUCUAAAUAUAAGUUAUUGUGCAAAAUAUAGUAUCAUGGACACAAACAAUAGUCUAGGUUUAGUUUAGAGAUCCCUAAAGAUAUAAACUGUAUUGCAUAUGCAUUAAAAGUUUGUUUUAUUUAAUUUUCUGUGAACAUGUAAAGUGUUUAGGUAAUUCUUUUCCCUUAUCCACGUAAGCACCUGUUACUUGAAUAUUGUGUUGACCGGCCAGCGGCAGUGAUCAAUGCUGCGCUCUAGCUCUUUCCCCGAGGCCCGCGCCUCGUUGUGCUGGUCAGAUGAGUGUUGGCACACAGUGGGUGCUGUGUCAGAUGAGUGUUGGCACACAGUGGGUGCUGUGUCAGAAGUUCACAACAGAGGGUCACAGCACACCCACUGCCUCUUUGUUUAUUUGUCAAAACAGCUUCCUAAGAAGGUUUCAGAGAGUUUUGUAAGACCUUCCCAAUGGUGGUUACAAACCUUAAUCAAAAACACAGAAGGUGGCAAAGCUUACUGUGGUGGGCUCAUGAAGCAGGAGACCUGUUAGACAGUUUCCCAGCGCUGCCUCCGAGUGAGCUAAGUGACACUUUAAUUCAGCUCCGCCCUCUUCAUCUUUCUCACUAUGAGAUGUACUAUUGGUAUAAUUGCACACCAAAAAUAAGCCAAACAGUGCAUUACACUAACUGGAUCCCUGCUUUCAUGGAAGCAAAGGAAAGACAGGUCUCACGUCUCUGUCCUGUUUGUACACCUAGUGACCCAGGAUUCAAGUUUUUAGUAUCAAGUAAACUUUGCCUCAGACUGACUGAAGGCAGCUGUAGGUCAUCUGAGUCUAACGAUCGUGUGCAAUGCCCUCCCCGCCUCUCCCGGGUCUUUGCAGCUCCC